GUCCUCGUAGUUCAACGGAUAGAACGAGACACUCCUAACGUCUAGAUGCAGGUUCGACUCCUGCCGAGGGCACCA
rnacentral:tRNA from 1 species